AUUCUUUUAGUAUAAAAGUAUAUUUGACUUCCAAUCAAAAGGUUAUAAAAAAAUAAAAGAAUA
rnacentral:tRNA from 1 species